GAUGAACGCUAGCGGCAGGCUUAAUACAUGCAAGUCGAGGGGCAGCAUGAUUGUAGCAAUACAAUUGAUGGCGACCGGCAAACGGGUGCGGAACACGUACACAACCUUCCAAUAAGUGGGGAAUAGCCCAGAGAAAUUUGGAUUAAUACCCCGUAACAUAACGAUGUGGCAUCACAUUGUUAUUAUAGAUUUUUCGCUUAUUGAUGGGUGUGCGGCUGAUUAGAUAGUUGGCGGGGUAACGGCCCACCAAGUCUACGAUCAGUAGCUGAUGUGAGAGCAUGAUCAGCCACACGGGCACUGAGACACGGGCCCGACUCCUACGGGAGGCAGCAGUAAGGAAUAUUGGACAAUGGACGCAAGUCUGAUCCAGCCAUGCCGCGUGAAGGAUUAAGGUCCUCUGGAUUGUAAACUUCUUUUAUAAGGGACGAAAAAAGGCUUUUCUAAGUCGUCUGACGGUACCUUAUGAAUAAGCACCGGCUAACUCCGUGCCAGCAGCCGCCGUAAGAC
rnacentral:rRNA from 1 species